rnacentral:tRNA from 1 species
UAUUGCCGAAGGUUUCGGAAUCCCGCCGUUGGAGGCGGCCGUAGCGGGUGUCCCUUGUAUCUGUUCGAACCGCACGGCGAUGC